rnacentral:tRNA from 1 species
GGAUCGGUAGCUCAGUUGGUUAGAGCGCUGCCCUGUCACGGCAGAGGUCGCGGGUUCGAGUCCCGUCCGUUCCG